CAGAAUUCCGUGUGAUAGUGACUGGCAAUGUGACGGCAGGAAGAAGUGCUGUGAAUUUUUCUGUGGCAAAGGAUGUUUGGAGCCUGUGCGUAAGUGGAAUGCAGCGUCCGGGUAACACACAGAUAUACAGGAUUUUGGGCGACGUUUAAUAUAUUGGCUGCCUGAUGUCACAUGACCCUGCGGCCCCGGACGCUCUGUACCUGCAGAUUGGGGGCACCGGGCACAGAUUAUGGAUGAUAAAUGUACAUUGAGUCACAGUAACGGCUCAUUGUAUUGUGAGUGAUGUCCAGUGUAAAUGUAAUAAAAUGAGUUCCAGUCAUCA